rfam:[Clostridium] termitidis CT1112 Ct_contig00008, whole genome shotgun sequence.
UCGCUUUGAAAUAGUGAGCCAUAGACAGUGGGAGCCGGAGUAGCAAUACCGAGGCCUAACAGAUGCCUGCAUCAUCCCGCCGAGGUUGUGAUCGUGAAUUGUUAAAUCAGUUUGCGUCAGUUAAUAAAAUUACCAUUGGUAACUUUUGAAACAGUUAAUCACCCUUUGAGUGUCUAUGUGCAUGCAAAGGGUUUUUUAUUUUUGUUA